rnacentral:rRNA from 1 species
AUGAACGCUAGCGGGAGGCUUAACACAUGCAAGUCGAGGGGCAUCACGGGUAGCAAUACCUGGUGGCGACCGGCAGACGGGUGAGUAACGCGUAUGUAACCUACCCUGUACAGGGGGAUAACCCGGAGAAAUUCGGACUAAUAUCCCAUAAUGAUAUCUGGGGGCAUCUUCGGAUAUUUAAAGUUCCGGCGGUACAGGAUGGGCAUGCGUAACGUUAGCUAGUUGGUAAGGUAACGGCUUACCAAGGCUUUGAUGUUUAGGGGUCCUGAGAGGGUGGUCCCCCACACUGGUACUGAGACACGGACCAGACUCCUACGGGAGGCAGCAGUGAGGAAUAUUGGUCAAUGGGCGCAAGCCUGAACCAGCCAUCCCGCGUGCAGGAAGACGGCCCUAUGGGUUGUAAACUGCUUUUCCAGGGAGAGAAACUUGCGUACGCGUUGCGCAAUUGACGGUACCCUGGGAAUAAGCAUCGGCUAACUCCGUGCCAGCAGCCGCGGUAAUACGGAGGAUGCGAGCGUUAUCCGGAUUCAUUGGGUUUAAAGGGUGCGUAGGCGGACUAUUAAGUCAGUGGUGAAAUCCUGCAGCUUAACUGCAGAACUGCCAUUGAUACUGAUAGCCUUGAGUUUGGUUAAGGUAGGCGGAAUGUGUAAUGUAGCGGUGAAAUGCUUAGAUAUUACACAGAACACCAAUUGCGUAGGCAGCUUACUGAGCCGACACUGACGCUGAGGCACGAAAGCGUGGGGAUCGAACAGGAUUAGAUACCCUGGUAGUCCACGCCGUAAACGAUGAUUACUCGCUGUUGGCGAUACACUGUCAGCGGCUAAGCAAAAGCAAUAAGUAAUCCACCUGGGGAGUACGGCCGCAAGGUUG